GAUGUUUUGUGACUAGAGGUGGCUUUCUCAACCUUCUGGAGAAGACUCCUGAUCUUAACUCUCGAAACCUCAUGGAGUCAGGAUUGUUAGCCCUGAACCUGGAGGACCGGUGGACCACUCUUAGUCUGGCCUCUACUCUUUGACGUGUUUGGCAUGGGUGACCCUACCAAGAGCCAAAGCAAAAGGCCCUGACUCCAGCCAUCAUAGCCCUCCAGGUCACUGAGGCACGCAAGCCUCCAAACCCAUAUGGCACGGCUGUGGUUCUCUUGGAGGAAUUGUGCAUUGUAUAUAGGAAAGGAUUCUGUCCGGAUGCAUCAUGGCGAACUGCUCUGCACAUGACGACAAGAAACUGCAGAGAAACUGCUGUGGACGUAGCUCUGUACAUCACAGGAACCAGCCUCCCCUCUGUGAGCCCUGUCCAUACUUGUCGUUGCCUCAGUAAGCAGCAAGCAUGAUCAAAGACCCACCCAACCUGGUCAUCCUCUCUUCUCCCCCUUCGCAUCGGGCAGAAGAUGAAAAAGCCUGAAAGCACGUACCACCAGGCUCACGGACAGCUUCUAUCCACUGUUAUCAGACUCUCAAACAGACCUCUUGCACAAAUAGAUGGACUCCUGGCCUUCCAGUCUACUCGUUAUGAUCUUACACUUUAUCGUUUACCUGCACUGCACUUUUACAAUAGCUUUUACACUUCCUUUUGCAUUGUUAUUGUUUUACCUUAUCAAUGCAAUGAGUAAUGAUUUUAUUUAUCUGAUUGAAAUACACCAUGAAAUAGGCCCUUCUGGCCCUUCGAGCCAUGCCGCCCAGCAACCCCUGAUUGAACCCUAGCCUAAUUACAGGGCAAUUUAUAAUGGCCAAUUAACCUACCAAUGAGCACACCUUUGGAGUGUGGGAGGAAACCAGAGAAAUCGGAGGAAACCCACGUGGUUACGGGAGGAUCAUGUGAACACCUUACAGGCAGUGCCGGGAAUUGAACCUGAAUUGCUAGUACUGUAAAGCGUUGUGCUAACCACUAUGUCACCGUACUGCCCGAUUUGUUCUAUAUAAACAAUAUGUAAAACAAGCUUUACUCUGUAUCCUGGUACACGUGACAAUAAUAAACCAAUAUCGAAGGUACCAUGUCAGUGCCUUUAGCUCUUCACUACUAAAUUAUUGCUUUAUCAUGGAAUGUUAAUUAUACAAAUCACAGUCCACAAAUUAAUCUGUUGCAAAAUAAACUUCGAUCAAUAAUGAAUUAUACAUUGAAGCACGCGGUGUUAAUUUUCAUCUAUGGAUGUCACAAUUAGAGGGCAGUGUAGGUCUAUUAUUACAUUUCCUGAGGCGGUACCACAAGAUGGCACUAACAGGGCUCCAUUAUGGUUUCUGCUCUCUCAUUUACUCACUAAUCUGUCUCUGUUAUAAUUAAACCAAUAUUAGCCAUUAACUUCCUGAUAGGAUGAAGGGAUCCAACAGUUUAUGGUCUUAAGGAAUUUUAAUUCCCUUAGGUUACUACAAAUCACCAAUAUCAAUAUUCUGGUAGGCAAUCUAAAGCAGAUGGGAACAGCAGC